rnacentral:piRNA from 1 species
UGAGCUCGCAGGACCAGCAGAAACAGU